rnacentral:tRNA from 1 species
GAUCCAGUAGCUCAGCAGGCAGAGCACCUGCCUUUUAAGCAGGGUGUCCCGGGUUCGAAUCCCGGCUGGGUCACCA